GCCAGUGUGGUGUAGUGGAUUGAGUGUCGGAGUAUAACUCUGGAGAUCAGGGUUCAAAUCCCUGCUCGGCCA
rnacentral:tRNA from 1 species